rnacentral:rRNA from 1 species
GAUUAGGAGGUAAGGCCUGCUCACUGAAAAUUAAAGAGCCGCAGUAUAUUGACUGUGCUAAGGUAGCAUAAUCAUUAGUCUUUUAAUUGGAGACUGGUAUGAAUGGCUAAACGAAAAAUGGACUUUUUUUAUUAUUUAAAUUGAAUUUAACUUUUAAGUGAAAAGGCUUAAAUAGUUCAGAAAGACGAGAAGACCCUAUAGAGUUUUAUACGUUAAAAAAUGAGAAUUUUUUAGAUUUYUUGGAUUUACGUUUAUGGUUCGUAUUUUGUUGGGGCGACAUUUAGAUAAAAUUAACUCUUAAUACUGAAAACUUUUAUAAAAGUUUUAUUUGAUCCUUUAAAAAAGAUUAUAAGAAAAAAUUACCUUAGGGAUAACAGCGUAAUCUUUUUUGAGAGUUCUUAUCGACAGAAAGGUUUGCGACCUCGAUGUUGGACUAAAAUUUAGGCAGGGUGCAGCAGCUUUGCUU